rnacentral:rRNA from 1 species
AAUGUUAAAUAGCCGCAGUACUCUGACUGUGCAAAGGUAGCAUAAUCAGUUGGCUUAUAAUUGAAGUCUGGUAUGAAUGAAAAUAUGGGUGGUAGCUGUCUUUAAUAUAUUUUCUUAAAUUUAUUAAACAAGUGAAAAUACUUGUGUUUAUAAAAAAGACGAGAAGACCCUAGAAACUUUAAAUGGUUUUUGUUGGGGCGACAUAAUUACAUAUAACUAAUUUUAUAAAACAUGACAUAGAUAGUAAGUAUAAGUUACUCUAGGGAUAACAGCAUAAUUUUAACAGUUUGUGACCUCGAUGUUGGACUAGGUAUUUUAUGCUUUAGACAAGCAUAAAAAAUGCUCUGUUCGAGCAGUUACACCUACAU